AAUUAUUUCAAGGUGAAUUGUCUCCUUCCACCCAAUCCAAAUUUCCCUUGAAAAGCCUGUUGCUUCUAUGCGAUGUGAAUGAUGAAAUCCAAGUUUAACAAUUAUUUCAUCUGCCUUGCUGCCACUAAGCUUUGGUUCUAAAAGUCCUAUAAUAUCUGGUCUAAAUUCCAUGUUAUAUUCUCUAAAGAUGCGUGGGAAUUUGAGACUUGCGCAUCCUUGGCAAUUCCAGACAAAAAUUGAUAAAUUAAUUUUACUAUUCAUCAUGAAGGUUUAGAAAGAAUUACCCAGUCUAGUUUUGCAGUCGUGUGUCAUUUCUGCUUUCUGCAUUCCUAUCUCCUUCUUCAUUUGAUUUAAUGAAUAUGCUUUGCUUGACUUGUUCAUGUAACAGAUCCACCAUAUUAGCCAUUGACUCUGCCAAAGUAAUUUUGAGGGACGUGACUUUGAAAGGGCUUCCUUUAUCCUGAAUUAUCCUUUUGAUUUUUUGCCCUUUUGUGCUGCCGUUUGUUUUCCCCCCACUGGUGCUUACUAUAGGUGAAUUCUUUCGUCGCCCCAUAUGGUUUUUGGAUAUUAGUCGAUCUUCAUGUUUUUCCUGGUGGUUGUUUGGAUCUUUGAACACUACUAUUGAGUGUUUGGUUGGAUAUAGAAUUCCGUUGGUAGGUGUCACUGCGACCUCCUUUGCACUUUCAGCAGUGGAAUGGAGGCUAGGUUGGGAUCCCGGGUUUGUUGUCGACUGUGAAUAUUUAAUUUCUCUCAUGAUCUAUCUCUCAUUCUUUGUAUUGUUUGCUUUGUCUUCUGUUGCUUCAAUUCCCGAUUCUCCCCCUGUUUGUUGUAUCGCAGAUUGUGUUUCUUCCAAAACCCUAUUCUCUGGUUCUGUUUGUAUUUUUAUUCCUGGUACAGGAUGCAUUAUGCCUGAUUGCUCUUGUUUUCCUGAAUUGUAACCAGUCUGGUUUCUUUUAGGAGAUGAACUGGGCCCAAACGUUUUGGUCUGAGUCUGUUUAAAAUUCGAGUUAGCUGGAGCCUAUUUAUCUAUUUUUUGCUGGAGCUGGCCUGUGGAUGAGGGUCCACUAUUUGCUUCUAUUGGGCACACACAAUUCCAUGCCUCUGUUUGGGUUUGAAUUGUUUCCAUAAUGGGCCUGUUCUCUUCUGAGCCCAUUUCGUCAAUUAGGGUUUCCAAAGGUUGAAACCUAAUAUUUUUUUGUUUCUUCUCUUUGGCUGCGCCGUUGCUGUUCUGCCUCUCUUUUGACCAUCGCCGGUUGCGUUUUUCCACGAGCAUCCAAGGUCUAUAGUCACCAGAGUUGUUUGUAAGGUUGCUUUCUCUUGAAUCAGGUCUGUUUUUCGGAAUUGUUUCUUCUCCCGAGAAGCUUUCUUUCUAUUGGUGUUGAACAGUCGUCGAUUUUGGGCAUAUAUCCUGUUUAUGUCCAUAGUGGCCACAAGAGAAACAUACCGUAGGAAGGUGUUCAUACUCGAUUCUUUGUGGUAUUCCAUUGAUUAGAACUUUCGAUGUAAGGGCCUUUCCAAGAUUGACGUAGACUGUCAUUCUUGCAAAUCUUCCCCGAACACCAUUGUAAGUGUUAAAGUCCAAUUUUGCGACUGUUCCCACCAUUCCUCCUAUUUCUCAGAGAAUUUUCCUUUUGUACAUAUGUCCAGGCAAUCCUGGUAGUCGUAUCCAAGCCAUGACCAUAUUCUGGUAUGGUUGCGAAGGUUAAAUUCAAUGCUCCAAGGUUGAACAGUUAGAUAUUGCCCAUAAACUAUCCAAGGCCCUAGACUUAAAACCCUCUCAAAGUCUCCGACGUUCUGGAAUUUAGCCAGAUAGUAGCCGUUUUCGAUGUCCAUUAAUCUGAACGGUUGGCUCGGUUUCCACAAGGAAUGGAUCUUGUUUUGCAGUGUUGCGUAACCAAUUUUUCUUCCCAAGAGCUUGAUUACUACCGCCUGUACCGGUGAGACGAUCCUUCCAUGACCUAGGCUUGUUUGGUGUCAAGUUAGUUUCAAUAUCAACAUCCGCAUCUCGAUUUUGAAUUUCGAUUGCUCCUUUCUUUGCUUGUCGAUUAUCGCUCCGUCUAUCGUCGACUUUCUCUCGCUCUUCAGAAUCCAUCGUCUCUCUUUGAUGAAAUUCUUAAUCUAGUUGCUGUAAAUGUUGAUAUUGAGUCAAUUGAUGAUUAAAAAAAAUCUGAAAGUAAGCAAAACAAUUAAUCAUUAUGUUCA